AUACGGAGGGUGCGAGCGUUGUUCGGAAUUACUGGGCGUAAAGGGCGCGUAGGCGGCUUUACAAGUCAGGUGUGAAAGUCCACGGCUCAACCGUGGAAGUGCAUUUGAAACUGUAAGGCUUGAGUACUGGAGGGGAGUGUGGAAUUCCUGGUGUAGAGGUGAAAUUCGUAGAGAUCAGGAGGAAUACCGGUGGCGAAGGCGACACUCUGGACAGAUACUGACGCUGAGGCGCGAAAGCGUGGGGAGCAAACAGGAUUAGAAACCCUAGUAGUCC
rnacentral:rRNA from 1 species